UACGUAGGGUGCGAGCGUUAAUCGGAAUUACUGGGCGUAAAGCGUGCGCAGGCGGUUUGGCAAGUCAGAUGUGAAAUCCCCGAGCUUAACUUGGGAACUGCGUUUGAAACUGCGAGACUAGAGUGUAGAAGAGGGGGGUAGAAUUCCACGUGUAGCAGUGAAAUGCGUAGAGAUGUGGAGGAAUACCGAUGGCGAAGGCAGCCCCCUGGUCUAACACUGACGCUCAUGCACGAAAGCAUGGGGAGCGAACAGG
rnacentral:rRNA from 1 species